GUAAAGGUAGGUAAUUUCUGUUAAAUAAUAUCACAUUUUGAGAUCUGCACAGUGAGCUAAUUAAAGCAUUUAUUAGAAUGUAUUAUGUAUUAAUGAACUCAGCAGAAGCAAACGUGACAUUUUCAGCAGGCUGUAAGCUACAGUGAGAAAUGGUAUUUCCUUGUAAUGUCUCAGCAUUGAUAAUGGUCUUAAACCCAAAUGGGAAUCAACGCACAUUUUCUCUCGGUUGCCUGAUGUAAAUAUUUUAACCUUAACUCUGUUGCUUUUGAACCAUCUCAGUUCUUUCCAUCUAAGCAUGUUUUCACCCAAGCCCUUCUGCUGUGGUGCCCUGCAGAUAGAUGGAGGACUUUCAGCGAACAUGGCAGGAAGGUUAUUUGCAGAAAAAUAAUCAGAGCAGCAGACCAGUUUGUUUGUAGUUUUUCUUGCUCCAUCUACAAUUCUGCACCUUAAAAUAGCUGGCUGCUUUCUGAGGCGGUUCAGAAAGCCAGCCUCUUUUGUCAUUCGCCUCUUCCAGGGGCGCUCGGCAAAGGGCUGGCAGCCCGAGCCCGCUGCCGCUGCGGCGGCUCCUCUCCGGGCAGCGGCGUCUCUCGGGGUGGGGGCGGCCUCGGCGGGUCUCACAGCGGCGCUUUGUGACCCAAGCAGCCUCGCAGCGUUAGCUCCACGGCAAGCCGGGACCGGGGGAGCCGGGACCGGGGUCGGGCAGCAGCGGGGGCCGCGAGCAGCCCUCCGCCCGGCGCCCCCGGCCCUGGCCAGCCCCGCAGCAUCGGGCGCCCGGCUCGGCUCGGCUCGGCUCCGCGCAAGCUUCUGCGGUAACUCAAGGGCUGGCACCUCUGAGCUUUUCCUGCAGCCCUCUAGUCUGAUGUAUGGGAUAGAGUCAGCAAAGUGGGAAAUGGAUUGCUGUAACCCUGUAGCAUUUGAUGGAUGCAAAUCCCUUCGUGCACUCAGGAGGGCAGAUGAGUGGGAGACAUGCGAUUAA
rnacentral:lncRNA from 1 species